CUUACAGUGGCAAGGAAACCAUUCCCACGGUAGCCAAGAGAGUUGCACGUCUCUGUCUCAUGAGGGUUAAGCAACAGCAGAGAGACCUGAGGCGUGUAGUCAAAGUGACUGGACAGAAGACACUGAGAAUGUAGUUAGAAUCACAAAGCUUCAUGUACCAAAGGGGUUUUAUGGUUGUUCCUGUGUUCAGUGAAGAA